CUGACACACACUCACAUGUGACAUAAGGUUACUGGUAUUUAUUAGUACUGACACACACACACGUGACAUAAGGUUACUGGUAUUUAUUAGUACUGACACACACACAUGUGACAUAAGGUUACUGGUAUUUAUUAGUACUGACACACACACACAUGUGACAUAAGGUUACUGGUAUUUAUUAGUACUGAC